rnacentral:tRNA from 1 species
GGGUGUAGCUCAGUGGUAGAGCAUGCUGCCUCGGAGGCACAAAGUCCUGGGUUCAAGUCCCAGAACAUCCC